UACGAAGGGGGGCUAGCGUUGCUCGGAAUGACUGGGCGUAAAGGGCGCGUAGGCGGUUCAUACAGUCAGAUGUGAAAUUCCUGGGCUCAACCUGGGGGGCUGCAUUUGAUACGUGUGGACUAGAGUGGGGAAGAGGGUCGUGGAAUUCCCAGUGUAGAGGUGAAAUUCGUAGAUAUUGGGAAGAACACCGGUGGCGAAGGCGGCGACCUGGUCCUUGACUGACGCUGAGGCGCGAAAGCGUGGGGAGCAAACAGG
rnacentral:rRNA from 1 species